CCUACGGGGUGCAGCAGUGAGGAAUAUUGGUCAAUGGACGCAAGUCUGAACCAGCCAUGCCGCGUGCAGGAAGACGGCUCUAUGAGUUGUAAACUGCUUUUGUACGAGGGUAAACGCAGAUACGCGUAUCUGUCUGAAAGUAUCGUACGAAUAAGGAUCGGCUAACUCCGUGCCAGCAGCCGCGGUAAUACGGAGGAUUCAAGCGUUAUCCGGAUUUAGUGGGUUUAAAGGGUGCGUAGGCGGUCGGAUAAGUUAGGGGUGAAAUCCCGUGGCUCAACUUCGGAAUUGCCUCUGAUACUGUUCGGCUAGAGAGUAGUUGCGGUAGGCGGAAUGUAUGGUGUAGCGGUGAAAUGCUUAGAGAUCAUACAGAACACCGAUUGCGAAGGCAGCUUACCAAGCUACUUCUGACGUUGAGGCACGAAAGCGUGGGGAGCAAACAGGAUUAGAUACCCCUGUAGUC
rnacentral:rRNA from 1 species